GGAGAGGUGACCGAGCGGUUGAAGGUGCACGCCUGGAACGCGUGUGUACGGCAACGUACCGUGGGUUCGAAUCCCACCCUCUCCGCCA
rnacentral:tRNA from 1 species